rnacentral:rRNA from 1 species
UACGUAGGGGGCAAGCGUUGUCCGGAUUUAUUGGGCGUAAAGAGCGCGUAGGCGGCUAGAUAGGUCCGUUGUGAAAACUCGAGGCUCAACCUCGAGACGUCGAUGGAAACCAUCUGGCUAGAGUCAGGAAGAGGAGAGUGGAAUUCCUGGUGUAGCGGUGAAAUGCGCAGAUAUCAGGAAGAACACCCGUGGCGAAGGCGGCUCUCUGGUACGUGACUGACGCUGAGACGCGAAAGCGUGGGGAGCGAACAGG